rnacentral:rRNA from 1 species
UACAGAGGUCUCAAGCGUUGUCCGGAAUCAUUGGGCGUAAAGAGCGUGUAGGCGGCCCGGUAAGUCCGCUGUGAAAGUCCAGGGCUCAACCCUGAGAUGCCGGUGGAUACUGUCGGGCUCGAGUCCGGAAGAGGCGAGUGGAAUUCCUGGUGUAGCGGUGAAAUGCGCAGAUAUCAGGAGGAACACCAAUGGCGAAGGCAGCUCGCUGGGACGUGACUGACGCUGAGACGCGAAAGCGUGGAGAGCAAACAGG